GAGGUAGAAGUGGGAAUGUGCCGUUCAGUGCAUCAUUUUCAGUUUCUCUUAGGACUAAAGUUACUGUAGGAAUCAUUUUUUUCUUGUUUUCAUUUAGAGAGCCAAAAGGAAGAAAGUCAUGAUCUAGCUCAGUCUAUAACAGAGUAAUAACCAGGCUAGCCAUGAUUCUACACUAUAGACAGGACUUGGGGGCGGGGCUUAAGCAGGAAAUAAACUGGGAGCACAAGGAACUACCCUGAAAGUCAGACCCUUCGACUCUAAGGCAGAAACCAUGAAGUUUAUGAGACAACUUCAGCUAGAAAGAUCCCUAGCACACGUGCAAUGCAAGUCCAUGGCUGCAUUACCCACAGUUUAUAAAGAAAGCAUCUGCAUCAGAUGGAUUCUUUUAUCUUCUCCAUGUCCUGCUGGAUUGGAAACCAUUCCCCUUGUGCUGGCUCCAAAGUCUCCAUGGAAUCCUUCCAGAAUCUCGUAACAGCAUGCCCUCCGUGAUGUCUACCUGUCUUCAUAGAAUGUCCUCAGUUCUUCUCCAUGGGAGAUGGAACAACAACAAAGCAAGCAAGCAAAGUCAGUCUCCUGCCCUGAGAACUCCUGAUGAUAUCCCUGCCCCUGCCUUUUUUCAGAUGCUGCAGCUGGAGGCUGUCUCCUCAAACACUUGUGUGGAAGUGUAAUUGUAGGGUCACAGUAGUAAGAGAUAGGUCUUUCAAGAGUAGACUGGGCUGUGUGAG
rnacentral:lncRNA from 1 species